UACGGAGGAUCCGAGCGUUAUCCGGAUUUAUUGGGUUUAAAGGGUGCGCAGGCGGGAGAUUAAGUCGGCGGUGAAAUUUUGCAGCUUAACUGUAAAAGUGCCUUCGAAACUGGUUUCCUUGAGUGUGGAUGAAGUAGGCGGAAUUUGUGGUGUAGCGGUGAAAUGCAUAGAUAUCACGAGGAACUCCGAUUGCGCAGGCAGCUUACUAAACCAUAACUGACGCUCAGGCACGAAGGCGUGGGGAUCAAACAGGAUUAGAUACCCUGGUAGU
rnacentral:rRNA from 1 species